rnacentral:rRNA from 1 species
UGGGGAAUUUUCCGCAAUGGGGGGAACCCUGACGGAGCAACGCCGCGUGGGGGAGGAAUGUCUGUGGAUUGUAAACCCCUUUUCUCUGGGAAGAAGGACUGACGGUACCAGAGGAAUCAGCCCCGGCUAACUCUGUGCCAGCAGCCGCGGUAAUACAGAGGGGGCAAGCGUUGUCCGGACUUACUGGGCGUAAAGCGCACGCAGGUGGUAACGCAAGUGGGGUGUGAAAGCCGCCAGCUCAACUGGCGGAGGCCAUCCCAAACUGCGUCACUUGAGGCCUGUAGAGGUAUGUGGAAUUGCCGGUGUAGUGGUGAAAUGCGUAGAGAUCGGCAGGAACACCCAGGGGGAAGCCAGCAUACUGGACAGGUCCUGACACUCAGGUGCGACAGCGUGGGGAGCGAACCGGAUUAGAUACCCCGGUAGUCC